rnacentral:rRNA from 1 species
UAACAAGGAUUCCCCUAGUAACGGCGAGUGAAGCGGGAAAAGCUCAAGCUUAAAAUCGGUUAAUUUGAAAUAGUUGAUCGAGUUGUAGCUUUUGAAAGCAGAUUUAGCUAUUAUUUAUGGUAAAAGUUCUUUUGAAUAAGACAUCAAAGAGGGUGAAAAUCCCGUCAUUGACCAUAAGAACGAUAAUAGUUUACAAACUGUUUUUCUUGAGUCGGGUAGUUUGGGAAUGCUGCCCUAAUUGGGAGGUAAAUUUCUUCCAAAGCUAAAUAUUAGCAAGAGACCGAUAGCAAACAAGUACCGUGAGGGAAAGAUGAAAAGCACUUUGAAAAGAGAGUGAAAAGUACGUGAAAUUGUUGAAAGGGAACCGGUUAGUAGCCAAGGUUUCUAAGUUUGGAAUUUCUGAAUUUGGAGGGUCAACAUGGGUUAGUUUUGUUGGAAAGGAUUUAAAGAAGGUUCGAAUUUGACAUUAGUUGAAUUUGGUUAUAGCUUUAAUGAACUGCAAUGGAAUUGACCGAGGUCGAUAGUGAGCGUAAGCGAGUUUUUGAUGUUUGAACUUUGGGGAGUUUUGUUAAACAGCAUGCUGGUUAAUGGAAUGUUUCUGGAGGUAGGAUGUUGAGAAACUAAAUCACUUUGGAUGUUGCGAAAA